GACUUCAACUGAAAAAGUCAUCAACAACAAAGUUGUAUAAUCUAUCUGGAUCUACAAUUUUUAUUUUGGUCAUAUCUUCAUCUGGUAAAGUAAUAGUAACAUUGUUCACAAAAUUUAUAAAUCUCUCUUAUAGUUUAUAACACCAUAUAAGAGAUAUGUAAAUUUUAUGAACAAUCAUACUAUCAAUUUGUCAGAUUAACAAAUGACCAAAAUAAAAAUUGUAGAUCCAGAUAGAUUAUACAACUUUAUUAUUGAUGACUUUUUCAGUUGAAAUC
rnacentral:pre_miRNA from 1 species